AUACGGAGGGUGCAAGCGUUACUCGGAAUCACUGGGCGUAAAGGAUGCGUAGGCGGAUAAUCAAGUCAAAAGUGAAAUCCUACAGCUUAACUGUAGAACUGCUUUCGAAACUGGUUAUCUAGAAUAUGGAAGAGGCAGAUGGAAUUAGUGGUGUAGGGGUAAAAUCCGUAGAGAUCACUAGGAAUACCGAUUGCGAAGGCGAUCUGCUGGGACAUUAUUGACGCUGAGGCAUGAAGGCGUGGGGAGCAAACAGGAUUAGAUACCCUAGUAGUCC
rnacentral:rRNA from 1 species